CUACGGGGGGCUGCAGUGGGGAAUAUUGGGCAAUGGGCGAAAGCCUGACCCAGCAACGCCGCGUGAAGGAAGAAGGCUUUCGGGUCGUAAACUUCUAUCCCAGAUGAAGAUAAUGACGGUAAUCUGGAAGGAAGCCCCGGCUAACUACGUGCCAGCAGCCGCGGUAAUACGUAGGGGGCAAGCGUUGUCCGGAAUGAUUGGGCGUAAAGGGCGCGUAGGCGGCCUUUUAAGUCCGAUGUGAAAGUCCUGCUUUUAAGGUGGGAAUUGCAUUGGAAACUGGAAGGCUUGAGUGCAGGAGAGGUAAGUGGAAUUCCCGGUGUAGCGGUGACAUGCGUAGAGAUCGGGAGGAACACCAGUGGCGAAGGCGACUUACUGGACUGUAACUGACGCUGAGGCGCGAAAGUGUGGGGAGCAAACAGGAUUAGAUACCCGGGUAGUC
rnacentral:rRNA from 1 species